UUUUUUUUUUUUAUUUUUCUGACCCGUUUUCCUAACCAGGGUAGUAUAAUCAGGAUGAUAUUUUCAUUCUAAGAGUACACUUGUAGAGCAAAGUAAGAAAACAACCAUAUAGAUAUUAUUCACAAUUAAAUAAGUUGGAUAAUUACUAGUGGCUCCUGACCUCUUGCAAACUAAUUAUUUUCAUUAAUACAUUUAUGUGAAAGCUGUAUAAAAAACCGUAAAUAUUUUCUCAUAAAUAUAAUUCUUACAAUAUAGAUUGCUAUUUUCUAAAAUUUCCAUGAUUAGAGAUAUUGUAUAUAUAAAAGUAUGUCUAGUCAAUUAUUAAUCCUGAAAGAGAAAACCUAUACAGAUAGAUUCAGAAACACUUAGGAGAGAUCUCAACCAAUUGUAAUAUAUGGAUCUUAUUUAGACCUUGAUUCAAAUGAAAAAGUACCAAAAAAACCCCAACAAAAAAACAAAAAAAAAAGGGCCAAUAUAUAAUGCAAUUGAAAAAAAUCUGAAAACUGACUGAUGUAUAAUGAUAAUUAGGACUGUGUCCAACUUUUUAAAGCGUGGUAAUGGUAUUGUGGUUAUUUUUAAACUGAGUUAUCUUUUAGAUAUACACAUAAAAAUAUCUAUAGAUGAAAAAAGUCCUAUAACUGAGGUCAUAACCCUUUCAGUACAAUUAUUCGCAUUUCUCUUAGCCUAGUCUGUUUUUUGAGAGAAGGGCAAAGGGAGAGAGAUCAGACAAGGAAAAGAGGUAUAAUGGGCAGGAUUCUAGACUCCCAUUCUGAUUUCAAACAGAGUACAUCAGUUUUUACUUUUGACUGAUUUCCAACCAACAACAACAACAACAACAACAACAAAAACCCCAAAGAAACAAACCUGACUAAAUCUAGUUUAUCACACUAUGCCUCAAGUUCCAUCUCUGGUUACCCCCUGAAAUAUAAAUCCCUCUUCUAGAGUCAUCUAUAGUCUUCCUUAGUUGCCUCAUUCUACCCUGGGCUUCUUCCCUGAACUACUUUUUGAAUAAUUCCUUUCCAUAAUGUUUUUUUCUACUGUACCUCUAUUCCCGCUACUAUAAUUACUAAUUAACAAUUACAAUCCCCUCUGCCUCCAUCUUCUUGACAAAAUGCUCUCUCUAGCGACCUAUUUGUCUUAGUAGAAACCCAGAGGACCCCUUUCUCUGGUGGGCCUUUCUAAAGGAAGAAAUCUUUAUUCUCCCAACAUCCUCGUAUAACAUUAUAACAGAGUCUGGGGGAAGUAGGAGGUCAGCAUUCCUUAAACCACUCAGGAUCUUUUCCAAAUCAUUACUGACAUAUCCUCAUGUAAAAAAAUUCUGUUCUUUUGGGGUUUAUUAUUCUCCAGUUAAUACACACUACUCUUUUUAAAAGGAAAUAGCAUAUCUAUAAACUGGUUUAAUCAAACAAGACAGGAAACAACCAAUGUUAGAGAGGAUGUGGAGAAAGGGGAACCCUCCUGCACUGUUGGUGGGAAUGUGAACUGGUGCAGCCACUCUGGAAAACUGUGUAAGUUCCUCAAACAGUUAAAAAUAGAUCUGCCCUACAACCCAGCAAUUGCACUGCUGGGGAUUUACCCCAAAGAUACAGAUGGAAACACCGGAACACCCGCACCCCAAUGUUUAUAGCAGCAAUGUCCACAACAGCCAAACUGUGGAGUGUCCAUCGAAAAAUGAUGGAUAGAGAAGAUGUGGUCUAUAUCUACAAUGGAAUAUUCCUCAGCCAUUAGAAACGACAAAUACCCACCAUUUGCUUUGACGUGGAUGGAACUGGAGGGUAUUAUGCUGAGUGAAAUAAAUCAAUCGGAGAAGGACAAACAUUAUAUGGUCUCAUUCUUUUGGGGAAUAUAAAAAAUAGUGAAAGGGAAUAAAGGGGUAAGGAGAGAAAAUGAGUGAAAAUAUCAGUGAGGGUGACAAAACAUGAGACAACUAAUUCUGGGAAACGAACAAGGGGUAGUGGAAAGGGAGGUGAUCGGGGGGCUGGGGUGACUGGGUGAUGGGCACUGAGGGGGGCACUUGGCGGGAUGAGCACUGGGUGUUAUACUAUACGUUGGCAAAUUGAACUCCGAUAAAAAAAAUUUAAAAACAAACAAACAAAAAACAAAUAUAAAAGGGUCCUUGUACCAAAGACAGACCUGAAGGUAAGAAGACUAAACAUGGGGAUCCCUGGGUGGCCCAGCAGUUUAGUGCCUGCCUUCAGCCCAGGGCAUGAUCCUGGAGUCCCUGAAUCAAGUCCCACAUCGGGCUCCCUGCAUGGAGCCUGCUUCUCCCUCUGCCUGUGUCUCUGCCUCUCUGUGUGUGUGUCUCUCAUGAAUAAAUAAAUAAAAUCUUAAAAAAAAAAUAAAAAAAAGAAGACUAAGCAUGUUAUUGCUGGUUUGUAGAAGUUAAAGCACCAAAAUUGAUGGGGAAGGGAAGAAACACAAAUGGAGAAGUGGAAGAGAGGAUACUUUGAGCAGUGGGUUAUUUAUUUCCAAAACACAAAGCUUUAUUUACUUUUUCUGAAUAGAACAAUCAUAAUUACUAACAAUAAAAAAUUCAUGGAAGAAAAAAAUUAUCUGGUAUCUUAUAAGCCUAAAAUAACAAGGGUUAACAAUUUUAUGCAAAUAGAAUCAUACUGUAUUUUGUAUGUUAUUUUUACCUAUCAUUUUAUAAAAUGCACACUUCCAUAUUAGAUCCAUAUAACACAGUUACCAGCACUGGCUCUGGAAUCAGAUGUCUGGAUCCAUAAAUUAGCUUUUCUUUUUAAUAGCCAGGUGAUCUUCAGAAAGUUAUUUUUGUCUAAGGUAAAUCAUCUUUAAAAUAAUGAUAAAAAUAGUACCUAUCUCAUGGGGUUUUGAGGCUAUGAGAUAUAUUCCAUGCUAAUUGCUUAGAAUAGUACCUAGACAUUAAGUAUAAGUGCUCAAUAACUAUUAAUAAAACAAUUUAAUUUAAAUGUCAUUUUCAUAUUAAUACUUAUCAUGAUUUGAUAUAUGUAUACACUACAAGUGAUUACCACAAUAACUAAUUAACAUUCAUCACUGCACAUAGGUAAUUUUUUUAAUGAGAAAUUUUAAGAUCUCUCUCUUAGCAAUGUCCCAACAUAAAACACAGUAUUAACUAAAGUCACCAAACUGUACAGUCCAUUCCCAGAACUUACCUACCUUAUAACUGCAAUUUAGGCCCUUUUGAUCACCUUCAACCAUUCUAGCCCCAUCUUCACCCCCCUACGUUUGGUAACCAUUAAUCUGUUCUCUGCAUCUAGGAGCUUGGGGUUUUUUUGGAUUCUACAUAUAAGUGACAUCAUAUGGCAUUUGUUUUCUUUGUCUGAGUUAUUUCACUUGGCAUAAUGCCCUCAACGGUCCAUCUAUGUGUCACAAAUGGCAGGAUUUCCUUCUUAAUGAUUGAAUAAUAUUUCUUUUUUUGGUGUGUGUGUGUGUGUGUGUACACACAAACUAUAUAUUGUUACAUAUAUAUUAUAAUCAUACCUUCUUUAUAAGUUCAUCUGCCAAUGGACAUAAGUUGUUUCCAUGUCUUGGUUAUUAUAUUAGUCUACAUCUGCCA
rnacentral:lncRNA from 1 species